UCUAAAGUUAUGUCCUGACUAUAUAGAUAUACUAUCAGUGAAGUAUAAGUUGGACUACAUGCCAGUUUACUAGUACAUCAUUAAUUUGAUUUUAAGUCAUGAAAUACAGAAGCAACAUUCGUGAAGCUUCAGUGGCAAGAGUUAAUCUUUUGUGAUGGUAUUCUGGCUAUAAGUU
rnacentral:ncRNA from 1 species